rnacentral:rRNA from 1 species
GAUGAACGCUGGCGGCGUGCCUAAUACAUGCAAGUCGAGCGAACGGACGAGAAGCUUGCUUCUCUGAUGUUAGCGGCGGACGGGUGAGUAACACGUGGAUAACCUACCUAUAAGACUGGGAUAACUUCGGGAAACCGGAGCUAAUACCGGAUAAUAUUUUGAACCGCAUGGUUCAAAAGUGAAAGACGGUCUUGCUGUCACUUAUAGAUGGAUCCGCGCUGCAUUAGCUAGUUGGUAAGGUAACGGCUUACCAAGGCAACGAUGCAUAGCCGACCUGAGAGGGGGAUCGGCCACACUGGAACUGAGACACGGGCCAGACCCCUACGGGAGGCAGCAGUAGGGAAUCUUCCGCAAGGGGCGAAAGCCUGACGGAGCAACGCCGCGGGAGUGAUGAAGGGUUGCGGAUCGUAAAACUCUGUUAUUAGGGAAGAACAUAUGUGUAAGUAACUGGGCACAUCUGGACGGUACCUAAUCAGAAAGCCACGGCUAACUACGU